UACAGUGACCUCGAGCGUUAUCCGGAUUUAUUGGGCGUAGAGGGUCCGUAGGGGGCUGGGUAAGCCAAUCGUAAAAUCUACGAGCUCAACUCGUACUUGGCGUUUGGAACUGCCCGGAUAGAGCACGUCAGAGGUCAUUGGAACUCACGGUGUAGGGGUAAAAUCCGUUGAUAUCGUGGGGAACACCAAAGGCGAAGGCAUUUGACUGGGGCGUUGCUGACCCUGAGGGACGAAAGCUUGGGUAGCGAAUGGG
rnacentral:rRNA from 1 species